rnacentral:tRNA from 1 species
GGUCUUAUAGUGUAGCGGUUAUCACGUCUCCUUGACGUGGAGGAGAAGGUCCCCGGUUCAAGUCCGGGUAUGACCA